CCCGGACCGCGCCCCUGGCCCCCGCCCUGCCCGGGCGGGCACGUGAGCGUGCGCCGCGCCGUUUCUAAUUUUAGCUCCUGCGGCCUCUGUGGGGUCGUGUGAGCUGCCUGCCGCUUUCCGCUAUGAGUAGAAGCAGCCUGAGGCCUGUGCCAGAUGCAGCUGUCCCAGAAUCGUACCACAUGGGCUGUUGUGAACUGGAAGUUUUUGAAAAUUUGGAAUGAAUGACUAUGGUAUCUUCAAGCUUUUUAGGGGGUUAUGCCCCAUUCAGUAUCCACCUUAAAACAGUUUUUAAAGACUGACAUUUACAAUCUAAUACUAGUAUUCGUAGCAAUUAAAUACAGCCAGAAGUAUGCAUACUGUUUUAUAUUGUUCAUACAGCAGCAGAGUUCUCUUUGUCCUAAUUUUGUACGAUUGUAACCACAUUUUCCUCAAUGUAAUACCUAUUUUGGGAGGGUCUUAAAUUGAGCAGGUGUGAAUGAUGAUGACUCAUAUCCUCAAA